rnacentral:tRNA from 1 species
GCAGCCGUAGUUCAAUGGUAGAACACCAGCUUCCCACGCUGGUAAUGCCGGUUCGAUCCCGGUCGGCUGCU